GGGGCGCCGGGGAGCCGGGCGCGCGCUUCCGGGAGGUGCCACGCGGGCGGGCGCCGCGGGAGCGCGCUGCUCAGGUGGCGCGGCGUCGCUCCCGCGCGCCUCCCGCCCCUCGUCGUCAAGGUGUCCUCCCGUGGGGCUCGGAGAGGACGCCUGAGGGAGCCGGCGGCGCGGCGGCCCCCGCGAGCCCCCUGCCUGGAGCUGCCGCCCGGGAGGCCCCCACGCUGCGGAGGACCGGCUGCACGCGGGAACCACGGGGAAGGGGCUCCUCUCGGUUUUCCAGAGUGAAAGUUCGCCUCGCUCUCAGGUUGCCUCACACAGAACAGACAGGGGUUGAAAGCAGCACAGAUCGUCCGGUCCUGUUGCUCUAAUCCUGUCAUUUUCUACGGCCACUGCUAACGGCGAAGCGUUGAUCCUGGUGCACCAGUUUAAAAAAAAUUAAAGGAGCAUUUUCCACCUAUUAGUAUUCUCUGGGAGAAAGUACGUGUUUAAAAUACCCCCGGGUUUCUGAAGAUGAACGGGGUAAAGUAAAAAGAAGUACUCUGAGCUUGGCUUGAGAAAUGAAUGGUUCACUGAAAAAUGAGUUAUUUCAAACAUCUUUGAAAAGUAGACAGUUUUAACUGUCUCACAGAUAUUGAGAAGCGAGAGUAAAAGAAGUGUCCUUAGAAUUAAACCUUUUUAAAAUACUCAAAAAGCUGCUUUUUAAAGGGAAUUCAGUUGCCUCAAAAUGGAUGUACAUAUUCUAAAGAUAAGGCAGACAUUUCUCUGAUUUUCUGAAUUGCUGAUUUGUGAACUUUUAGGGUUAGAGGUAACAUCUGUGGCCUGUUGCUGAAAUCCCUGAAAAAAAUAUAAUAAAACACCUCAGAUCUCAGUAAGUCUGAACUAAGGGAGUGAGAGGCCCCUGCAGGAUCAAGAGAACAUUCACUUGGCCUUUCACCAUCUCUGUUUUGAAUGUGGGAGGCAUGAUUAAGCCACCAAAAUCCUCUGGUAAGAUUGCGCUUCCUUGGAUUUAGACAGAGUUGAAGUUAAUACAUCUAGUUUAUAGGUACUUAACAGUUUGUUGGAUAAAUACCUUCCAAUAAGAGGCAGAUGGCAAGAAUGAAAAUCCCUCACGGUAUGGUCAGAGUCUAAAGGAUCUAGGACAUGGUUUGUGUCUUGUGCAUUUUUUAUGGAACCAAAAGUAGAUACAAAACAACUAACUACUUAAAAACAAAUUAUACACUUUUUAAAAUCUUUCUCUAGCAUUUUUGCCACCUCCUGCUUUUAUUUGGAAGUUUACUGCAGAAAGAACCAGAAUGAAGGCAGAAGAGGAAACUUGAGCUAGCCCAGCCCUGGCUGACGUGCAGCCCCUGUGGAUUGCCUCGCAGAUGUGCAGCUUACUGAGGGUGCUUUGGGCCCUGCUGCCCAUCACUUCAUAGACUGCUCAACAGAAUAUACAUUCAUACAUUGAAACCGUAGCAGUAAACAGAAGAGAGAGAUUGAGUGUGUUGGCUCAGGCCUCUAAUUUCAGCUAAGAAUGAUCUCAAAGUCAAGACCUACUGGACAACUUAAUGAAAGCCUAUCUCAAAAAUCUGUCUCAAAAACGUUGGGAAUAUAUGUAGCUCGGUGGUAAAGAAUGCUCGCCUAGCAUGUGUGAGAUCCUGGCUUCAGUCCCCAGUACAGAAAGAGAGGAGGGAAGCUGAAUUCAGAGCUCAGAACAGGAAGCUUUCUUCGUAACUCAGAAGAACUCAAGCAGAAAGAAUGUAGUUUCAUACUGAGAUCAAGAUUAUCAUCUAUGAACUCUUACCUGCAUACAAAGAAAACCUGAGAGCAGAGAUGGGAUGGAAUUUUCUUUUAUCAGGAGACAAUCCACCCAAUUGUAACUUGUUGGCAUUUUUUUACAUAUAUAGGUUAAAUGAUAACUUAUGGGAAAGUACAGCCUGUGUGACCGGCAGUGUACCAAUGCGUACCUCUGGAGCUUGAAUUUUAACUCUUCUUUAGCACAGCUUAUGAAAGCAUGGGCUGAAAAUUCAAGUCUCUAACUUGCCUCCUCUUGUAUGAAAGUCAAACGUUUUUCUAGUUACUUCUCACGGUUUUUCAAAACUUUCAUACAUGAGUCGUGUAUUCGCAUCAUUCCCACUCCCCUCUUCCUCCCACUCACUCCCUCUAAGUCUGAGACCUUUUCUUCCGUAACUACAGCCACGCCUGGAGUUAUGCCCCAUGUACUGUUGCUCACAUGCACAUAUGUGUGGCUGACCCAGAGAAGGAGGGUGAGUUUUCUCCAGGCCCGAAACCCCCGGAAGGUCACACAGGCAUUACUUCUAUUAAUAAAGAGGGCU